rnacentral:rRNA from 1 species
AGUGAACGCUGGCGGUAGGCCUAACACAUGCGAGUCGAACGGCAGCACAGUAAGAGCUUGCUCCUACGGGUGGCGAGUGGCGGACGGGUGAGGAAUACAUCGGAAUCUACUUUUUCGUGGGGGAUAACGUAGGGAAACUUACGCUAAUACCGCAUACGACCUACGGGUGAAAGCAGGGGAUCUUCGGACCUUGCGCGAUUGAAUGAGCCGAUGUCGGAUUAGCUAGUUGGCGGGGUAAAGGCCCACCAAGGCGACGAUCCGUAGCUGGUCUGAGAGGAUGAUCAGCCACACUGGAACUGAGACACGGUCCAGACUCCUACGGGAGGCAGCAGUGGGGAAUAUUGGACAAUGGGCGCAAGCCUGAUCCAGCCAUACCGCGUGGGUGAAGAAGGCCUUCGGGUUGUAAAGCCCUUUUGUUGGGAAAGAAAAGCAGCAGGUUAAUACCCCGCUGCUCUGACGGUACCCAAAGAAUAAGCACCGGCUAACUUCGUG